GGGUAGGAUGUGGUUCUGACAAGAGCAGUAACCCCUUUGGCGACAAGACUGACUGGGCCGACCCACUGGCAAGGCAGGUUUUCUCUUUCUGCCUUGAAUCCCUUUUUCUCUCUUCUUUCCUCUAGAAGCUGUUUAAGAGAAUGACCUUUCCAGAGAGAGGAGUACUGUUCUUUGGCUAAGGGUAUUUCUUCCUUUUUAUCUCCCACUAGAUUUUAGACUCACUGAAGCAUGGACCAGACACUGUCUU
rnacentral:sRNA from 1 species